rnacentral:rRNA from 1 species
AUGGCGGCGGCGCCGCACGUUGUGGUCGUCGCCUUCCCCUUCGCCCCCCACGCGGUGAAGCUGUUCCGCAUAGCGCGCGCCCUCGCGUCGGCGGCGCCGGCUGCCACCUUCUCCUUCCUCUGCACCGCCGGGCACCUGCAGAAGCACACUACGCUCCUGGGGAACCUGCGCUUCGUGGAGGUCCCGGACGGUUUAUCACCGAGCUCGGAAUCGGAUGGCGCCGCUGCGGCGCCACCGCCCCACCCCAAGAUGCGUCUGAAGCUCUUCAUGGAGGCUGCCGCGGCUGGCGGGUUGAGGGAGGCGCUGGAGACGGCUCGCGCCUCCGCGGGCGGCGCCAGGGUGACCUGCGUCGUUGGCGACUCGUUCAUGUGGAUGGCCGCCAAGGCGGCCGCCGAGGUGGAGGCUCCAUGGGUCGCCGUCUGGACCGGCGGCCCCAGCGCUCUCCUGGCGCACCUCCGCGCUGACGCGCUGCGGGACGACAUCGGUGAUAAAGGUACGCAGCACGAUCCACCAUGA